GGGUGCUGUCGGAACGGGGGGCAGUGUCUCGGUGCGGGGCGCUUUGGGCUGCGUUGUGGAGUAGCCCGGCGGCGGGCUUCCCCCGCUCCUCCCGGGCGCCCGGUGCAGAGGGGCUCCGAGCGUCUCCGGUGCAGUCCCGCGCCGCUCUAGUCCUCCCCACCAGGGUGGCCCGGGGGCCGUGAGGAAGGACCCCGCUGCCGGUCGUCUUCCCCGGGGCUGGGACUCGCCGGGGGCGGCCUGCCUUUGUUUGCUGAAGUUGCUGCUGUGGCCGUUUGCGCCCAGCAGCUGCCCCGCCGCGGGCCGGCCGGUAACGCGCCGGUCUGUGGCUGGAGGGCGCGGGGACAUCAGAUCCUCCUCCCUCCCCGAGGCUCCUCCGAGCCCCCCCGGGGCUGCUAAACCCGUCCUUGCCCGCCGGCUCCCCCCUCCCGCGGCGGGGCAGGGGGCGGUGGUAGAGUCGCGAAAGCCCUCCCUUCCCCGGCGACGGCCGGCCCUGCCCACCGCCCGCUCCGCUCCCAGCCCCGAGGCGGCGCGGCUCCGGCCCCUUGGGGCGGCGGGAGUUGGGGCGGGCGCUGAGGGGAGGCCGCCCAGGGCGGGGACCGGCCUGGUGGGGAGAAGCGCUCUUCGCUGCUGCCCGAGGUUCUCAUGUCUCGUCCCUCGUUAGGGAGCUGCGGCCGCGUUUGGCUGGCAUUUCCCCUCGGGAAGUCCCCCGGAGCUCGCAGACACCCGGUCCCGCUAGGAUCGGCUGGGUCGGGUAGCGAGGAGCGGGGAAGGCGGGCCUGGAAAACCUAUCCCGGCUCCAGCGAAGCAAAACAACGCACGCUUUCUGCCUCUUGUAUUUUUUUAAAAAACGUCACUGGCAAUCCCCUAAUUUAGGGGAGACUGACUCAUCAUUUCUAAACGCUCAGACUUGCUGGUACAGUCGUUGUUUAUUGAGGCACUGAUGUUCUGCAGCUUCUUGUAGGGAAUAGAGGGAGCGAUGGCCUGACUAAGGACCUCAGCAUUGAAACCCUGUACAAGUAUUUCUGCUGCUGUCAUCGGCUCGGUGUCUGAAGGCCCAGAGUGGGGUUUUCAGGGGAGCACAGGCAGCUCUUUACCGAUCCUUCCAGUGGGAGUCGAGCACCGAAAUAACUUCUGAGGAGUGGAGCUGAUCUUCAAUAGCAUAGAAUAAGCUCAUUUCAAACUGACCCUGCCCCACUCCUUUGGGCAGAUUUCAGAGGGUGGUCACUCGUUUUCUUAAGAUACCUGUAAGUUCUCUGUUCUUCCCCUCGGUUUCUGCUUCCAUGAGUUGCUGUACUUGCUGAUGUAAACCUUGAAAAUCUGAGAUCUUAAGUAUGUAAAUGAUGAGGAAUACUAUGGUGUCUAGGCAGUGCUCCAAGCCAGUGUUUCUGGACCUGCAUGCUCUGGUUUACGGUGGCAUCGAGAGGGAGUUGUGUAAUGGCAGCACUAGCCUGGGAACACCUAUUCUAAAUUGUUGGCACCACCUUGGUAGUUACAGCCUGUUUCACCCUUGCCUUGAAGAAGCUGAGCCACUGUCAGCAAUUAAAGGUAGUUAACAGUCCCCAGGCUAGUACCAGAACCCAAGCCAAUAAUUAUGACUCAGUAGAGGCAAGACAUCUGAAAAGAAUUCACGAGUCCCAAAAAGAGUCAUUCUUGCAAAAAAGAGUUAACCGCCAUUCUAGACACACAGUAGUAAUUACAAAUAAGAAAUCUGUUGGUAAAAGUACCUGCUAAUUUACUAAACAAAAACUUCUGUCCCUCUUCCAUACAGACAAACACCCCCCACCCCACCCCCCAAAACUAGGAAGGUACAACUUUCAAGUGUAGCUGUUGCCUGCUAAGCUUCACUAAUUUGCUUGAAAAUAUUGAUAGGUGUGGAUGCACUGAGGAUGGACAGCUUGGUAUCGUCUGCCUCUUAAAAGUGCCACCUACUAGAUCUUCCUAAUUUAGCCUCUUGUAUGUUGCCAGUAGAGUGACAGAAAAAAACCCACCAUCGGACAUUGCAUGAGUCCUACAGAAAGGAUGGGACUGAGCUCCCCCAAGAAUGCAUUUGAUAUACACUUUGAAGGUCCUUUUUCACAGUUCCCAAAGACGGUUCUUAGUGCUGCGUGUAGUGCUGUGAUCAAAUACACCUGUACCCAGAAAUACCUACUCUCUGCGCCCCACUCUAGGCUCAGCGGUGUGUUAGCCAUCCUUCUAGGAAGCUGGGGGGAAAAUGGGGUAUAUGUGUACAUCUCCAGGUUGGAAAGUUUUGGAAGAUGUGGAGCUGAUAUCCAUUGCCUACCUCUGUUUCUCUUCCUCCUCCUCUGCUUGCUUUUUACUUUGGCCUCUUGCCUCUGAACUGCAGUAGGUGAGAGACAGAUUCUGAAUGGCAUUUCAGUUCUUUUGUAUUAGGGGCCUGUUUCUCAAUCUGGUGGAGCACUCACAAGUAGAAGUGUAGGGAAUGAUUGUCACGUGUCAGAGAAGGAAGAGACUUGUGGUCUUCAUUUUCUUCCUAUUUUCUGUACUUCAUGGGAGGAUGAAAUAUCUAACUCUCUUCCUUCUGCUUCCAAGCCCCUUUGCUCUGAUUACAAGUAAUCUUUCCUGUUUAGAAACCCCAAUCUCUAGGUUUUUCCAAUGUUUCUGGAGGCUGUUAGCUUACUAAAGAUCUAAACUCACAGCAGUGGGAAUCAAGGGAACCGAUAACCAGAUCAACAACUCAGGCAACUACUCUGUAACAUAUAUAUUAUGUGUAUAUAAUAUUAUAUACACAUACAUUUCAUAUAACAUAUAAAUAUUCCAGUCAUUAUGGUUAUUCCAUCUCAUCAGCAUAAAGUUCAGAAUUAUUACUAAGAGAAACAUAAAACCCCAAACCUCCAAACAUGUUCCACAAACGCAGAUACUGAAUAUAUGAGGAUAGCUGGUAGAAGGAAUUCUGGCUGCCUUCUUUCUCUGCCUUAGCUGACUAUUGCUAUAUAAAAUACUAUGUAAUUACUACAGCUGUGUCUCUGUUUAUUAGAAAAUAUAGUGUCUUCUGAUCAUCAGUCAUUAUACUUUAUAGGUACAGACAAAUCGUAUGAGUUAUUCCUUCUAAUGAAUUCCUGUUUUCCACCAUCUAAUAGCUUAAUCCCUCUCUUCUGCAGUGUUGUAUGGGGCUUUUUUUUGCUUGUUUGUCUGUUUACUCUUUAUGAGGCUAAAUCCAAACUUACCUGGGGGACGAUAAUAGAAUUUUACAAGUCUAUUCAAUUUGCUUAUGGUUGAAGAUUUUGAAACAAAACUGCAUGCAAGAUGAGCAGAGCUGAGAUUUGCAAGUAUGAGGACCAGCAGACAAGUCAUAGUUCACGCUUUCAUGCAAUAUGCAUUGCCUGUGCAUUGGACAGUGUACACCAUUUACAGAUAUCUGGGCCAGAAAUACCUGUUCAUGUCAGCAAAUGAUGUGGGAUUAAUGGAUUCUAAAAUCUGGAAAACAAAUCUAGCUGAGCUGGUCCUUUUUCUGUUUUCCACUAAAGGCUCAAGAACUUUCCAAACACUUACCUAACAUAGGCCUGCCACUCUAAACUGUCUGUUUUAUUGAUUUUUUUUUUUUUUUAAGUCAAGUCCUGCUUAAAAAGAUGGGUAUUUCACUGGAUACAGCUCCUCAUCUCUUCCUCUGCUUACCCUGAGACUGUUGCAAUCGCUGCCUCUUUUCACAUCUGUUGUCUGGCUGCUGCUGUCUCUUUCUUGGACCUGUUGCACCUAGUGAGCUGAAACAACACUGGCAUUAAAGGGUCAGCUUCCUUGCCAGGCUCAUGAACUAGAAUCUGACAAGAAGGGCCAUGGAAACUGGAAACAUGUCCUUGAUAACACAACAAAUGCAGCCUUUCUCCUCUGUCAACAAUUCUAAGAUGGUGUGGUUUAAUUUUUUAGAAGAAAAAUGCAGCACCGUUAGCAAUAGGGGGGAAACUGUAAAACCUCGCAAAGCAUGUAUCUCCUAACAAUAAAUAGAAAGGAAAAAUUGCUUUUUA